rnacentral:rRNA from 1 species
GACGAACGCUGGCGGCGUGCCUAAUACAUGCAAGUAGAACGAGUGGCGAAAGGGGGAGUAACGCGUAGGUAACUGCCUCAUUGCGGGGGGUAACUAUGGGAAACGAUAGCUAAUACCGCAUACUGUGAGAUGGACCUGCGUUGGAUUAGUUAGUUGGUUGGGUAAAGGCCCACCAAGGCGACGAUACAUAGCCGGCCUGAGAGGGUGAUCGGCCACAUUGGGACUGAGACACGGCCCAGACUCCUACGGGAGGCAGCAGUGGGGAAUCUUCGGCAAUGGACGGAAGUCUGACCGAGCAACGCCGCGUGAGUGAUGACGGCUUUCGGGUUGUAAAGCUCUGUUGAUCGGGACGCGGUACCUAAACAGAAAGCGACGGCUAACUACGUGCCAGCAGCCGCGGUAAUUC